rnacentral:rRNA from 1 species
GACGAACGCUGGCGGCGUGCCUAAUACAUGCAAGUCGAACGCAGGGGGGACGGGUGAGUAACAAGUGGGUAACCUCCCAUCAGAGGGGAUAACACUUGGAAACAGGUGCUAAACCGAUACUGAUGGAUGGACCCGCGGUGCAUUAGCUAGUUGGAGAGGUAACGGCUCACAAAGGCCACGAUGCAUAGCCGACCGUGGGGGGUGCUCGGCCACACUGUGACUGGGACACGGCCAGGACUCCAACGGGGGGCAGCAGGAGGGAAUCUUCGGCAAUGGCCGAAAGUCUGACCGGGCAACGCCGCGUGAGUGAAGAGGGUUUUCGGAUCGAAAAACUUUGUUGUUAGAGAAGCGGUAUCAACCAGAAAGCCACGGCUAACUACGUACCAGCAGCCGCGGUAAUAC